rnacentral:rRNA from 1 species
UACGAAGGGGGCUAGCGUUGCUCGGAAUCACUGGGCGUAAAGCGCACGUAGGCGGCUUCUUAAGUCAGGGGUGAAAUCCUGGAGCUCAACUCCAGAACUGCCUUUGAUACUGAAGAUCUUGAGUUCGGGAGAGGUGAGUGGAACUGCGAGUGUAGAGGUGAAAUUCGUAGAUAUUCGCAAGAACACCAGUGGCGAAGGCGGCGACCUGGACAGAUAUUGACGCUGAGGUGCGAAAGCGUGGGGAGCAAACAGG